rnacentral:rRNA from 1 species
GACGAACGCUGGCGGCGUGCCUAACACAUGCAAGUCGAACGGAGUUGUUCCUUCGGGGACAACUUAGUGGCGAACGGGUGAGUAACGCGUGAGAAACCUGCCUUUCAGUGGGGGACAACAGUUGGAAACGACUGCUAAUACCGAAUGACGUUUCCUAGUCGCAUGACCUGGAAACCAAAGGCCGGGCAACCGGUCACUGAAGGAUGGGCCUGCGUCUGAUUAGCUAGUUGGUGGGGUAACGGCCCACCAAGGCGACGAUCAGUAGCCGGUCUGAGAGGAUGAACGGCCACAUUGGGACUGAGACACGGCCCAAACUCCUACGGGAGGCAGCAGUGGGGAAUAUUGGGCAAUGGGCGAAAGCCUGACCCAGCAACGCCGCGUGAAGGAAGAAGGCCUUC